UGAGAUUCUCCUCACAGAGCUGACACGGGCUUUUAAAAUCUUGACUCAUACUUCCCUGUAGGUUGCUUCUGGAAUUGUGACCUUCAUGCUGCAGAAGCGCUCUGAGGUCUCCAAGAGCUGUGGUCACACCAGCGCAGGGCACGUCCCUCAGGGAGUUCGGCUUUUCCUUCUCUGCCCUUUUGCUCUGCACACAUACACAGGUGACACGGACAGCACUUAGAAAAGGUGCUCAGGGGGACGUGUGCAUUUCAAGCCUCUCCUGCUGACUGCAUCCAUCACAGUGUUUCUCUACGAGCUUUGAGCCAAGGUGGAGAUUCUAAUGGAGAAUGAUGACUUGGAAACUGGACUUACUUGCAGACAGCCAUGACCUCACCCUCUUCAGCUCUUCUGGAAUUUCGGAAUGAGAUGCUCUUAGCAGCGGGCAUGCAGGGCAGACUGUGGCCAGUGCUCCGCUCUUGGUGCAGCCCUGGGCUCCAGAGACAAGGGUGGAGAGAUCUCAAAUUCAGAGCAAGAAAGAAGAACAGCGGGACCCCUGUCCAGGCAGCAUCUCAAAGAAAUGAAGGUGCUGGGAGGCCUGUUCAAGAGCUCACGUGAAAGGGCAAGAAGCCCACUAAAGGUAAUUUGACUUUAGCACAAAGAAAAGAACAUUCUGUGGAACCAAGACCAUGAUCUUUUAAUUUUAAAUUCUUGCAGAUGAGUGGAAGAGGAUGGUGACGAUUGAGAUUUGAACCAGGAGGGUGAGAGCAGAAAGAUGGAGCAAGUUUGCAUAGGGAAGAAAAUCAUUAAGAAAGGACUUAACAGAUUUGUACAUAGGCCCCCAAGACCCUAACGUAUGAACAGCAAAGUUCCAGGAAGAGCAAAGAAGUGAUGCUGGAGAGCUUAUUUGUAAACAGAUAAUAAAAAGAAAUUCAUCUGCA
rnacentral:lncRNA from 1 species